GGACUACCGGGGUAUCUAAUCCCGUUCGCUCCCCUGGCUUUCGUGUCUCAGCGUCAGCACAGCCCCAGCAGUCUGUUUUCACCUUUGGCGUUCCAGACGAUAUCUACGCAUUUCACCGCUCCACCGUCUGUUCCGACUGCCCCUGGCUGGCUCAAGACAGGCAGUAUACCCAGCAGUUCCACGGUUGAGCCGUGGGAUUUCACAAGGUACUUGCCCGCCCGCCUACACACGCUUUAAGCCCAGUGAUUCCGCCUAACGCUCGGCACCUCUGUCUUACCGCGGCUGCUGGCAC
rnacentral:rRNA from 1 species